UAUGGCCAUCUCAUGUUGAAACACUGGUUCUCGUCUGAUCACCAAAGUUAAGAGAUGUCAAGCCAGGUCAGUACUUAGAUGGGUGACCACUUGGCAAUACUGAGUGGUGUAAG